AGUGAACGCUGGCGGCGUGCUUAACACAUGCAAGUCGAACGAGAACGGAAUAUAGCUUGCUAUAUUUGUCAGCUAAGUGGCGCACGGGUGAGUAAUGUAUAGAUAACCUGCCCUUAAGAAAGGAAUAACAGUUGGAAACGACUGCUAAUGCCCUUUAUGCCUUUAAUACAUAAGUAUGCAAGGGAAACGCUUUAGUGCUUAAGGAUGGGUCUGUAUGGUAUCAGCUUGUUGGUGAGGUAAUGGCUCACCAAGGCUAUGACGCCUAACUGGUUUGAGAGGAUGAUCAGUCACACUGGAACUGAGACACGGUCCAGACUCCUACGGAGGCAGCAGUGGGGAAUAUUGCACAAUGGACGAAAGUCUGAUGCAGCAACGCCGCGUGGAGGAUGACACAUUUCGGUGCGUAAACUCCUUUUAUAUAGGAAGAUAAUGACGGUACUAUAUGAAUAAGCACCGGCUAACUCCGUGCCAGCAGCCGCGGUAA
rnacentral:rRNA from 1 species